GCUGGUCACAUGGCCCGGUCACCAUGGCGACGGAUCCCCGCAGACGAGGUGAGGACGAGGACGCUCAGAGUCCGUGUGAGAACCUGGGUCAUCCAAUCCUAAAGUCCAUGCUCUUCCCAAGGUGCCCGGCCAUGGAGUGUGGCAGACAGUGUGCUCAAAAGGAGGAGGCAGGAGGGAAGGCUGGUGCUGAGGACAGAGCCGAAGAAAGGGCAGUCUAG
rnacentral:lncRNA from 1 species